rnacentral:rRNA from 1 species
UACGGAGGGUGCAAGCGUUAUCCGGAUUUAUUGGGUUUAAAGGGUGCGUAGGCGGGUUGUUAAGUCAGUGGUGAAAGCUCCGAGCCUAACUCGGAAACUGCCAUUGAUACUGACGAUCUUGAGUACAUUUGAGGUGGGCGGAAUGUGUCAUGUAGCGGUGAAAUGCUUAGAUAUGACACAGAACACCGAUUGCGAAGGCAGCUCACUAAACUGUAACUGACGCUGAGGCACGAAAGCGUGGGGAGCAAACAGG